UUUGCAUUUUGCAUAUCGAGGGGAAGCCAACAAUAAGACCUGCAGUGACUUCCCCAGGAGCGGAGAGAGGAGAACGCCCCCAAGCUGAGAAAAGAGGAGUCAAUAACAUCACCCUCUAUGUCGGCCUGGGGCUAUACGGUGCAGUACAGAUUGCAUCUGUACUCCUCUUCAUCUUCU